AGGCGGGAUCACAUGAUUGCCGCAAUGCGCCAAUUAUUGGUGCAUUUUAUAUGCCAAUCGUGUGAUUGCACAAUUUAUUGUCCAAUGCGACAAUCAAAAAUAAAUUGUGCUGAUUUGCGGCAAUCAAAUACAACUCUGUGCGUCAAUCAAAGAAGACAAUACGCGUCAAUAACCUGAUUUUUUUUAAAUAAUAUUUUUUCUUGUGUUUGUACCGUCAACAUUUCUUUGUCCUUUAAUAUGGAAUUCGGUGAUUGCAUUGUAUACGAAAAUUCAGCUGAGCUUGAGUUCUUUUCCCCCGAUCAGCAACCAGAAACACCUGUGCCGAAAAAAAGAAAAAAACCAAGUGUAAUUUGUUCCUGGACCUACACUGCAAUACAGGAGCUGAUACAAGCUGUGGAACAGCAUCCAUGUGUUUGGCAGUAUUCAUCCACCGAGUACAAAGAUAGGAAUAAACGGGAGCAGGCAUGGCGGGAAAUUGAAAAAAUGUGUACAGGGCACACGGUGGAAGACUGCAAGGCCAAAUGGUGCAACAUUAAAACGGCCUUUCAAAAUGUAAAAAAAAAAACUAAAAUCAAAAUCUGGUCAGGGAGCCGAAAAUACCAUACCACAUUGGCCGCAUUGGUCUGCAAUGCAAUUUUACAACGACCACU